AGCUUUUUUGGUGAGUGAAACGCUCAGUGGGAGGAGAGGAUAUGACGAAGCUAUGGGUCCUUCUUCAUCACUAGACAAAUAAACUCGCUCUUUUCCUUGUCAAUAUUGAUAUUACUUCUUUCAUGCCUCCAAACUAUACCAUAUUUUCAAUAAAUUCGUACCGUAUAUAAAUCUGGGUUAAGAUAGAUGUAAAAUAUGUUUACAAAAAAUGAAAUUAACCUAAAGUUUAAGAGUGAUGAAGAUUCAGAAGACUGAGAAGUGUAUGAAUGAAAACAAAUCUCUCAUCCCGCUCUUUUCGAGGGACCCGAGAGGUGGGGUCCACCACUGUCAACGAUGACGUCAUCAUACUGUAGGGUUCCUCAUCUCUGCCGUUGAUCUCUGUAAUGUGUAUCUUCUUUCCCAUCACAAACUGCUCUUGACUCUCAGUGACUCACCUACCUCCUUAAUUAUUCAUU